rnacentral:SRP_RNA from 1 species
GCUGGGUGUGGUGGUACACACCUGUAGUCCCAAUUACUUGGGAGGCUGAGGUAGGAGGAUCACUGGUGCCCAGGAGGUUGAGGCUGCAGUGAGCCAUGAUCAUGUCACUGUACUCCAGCCUGGGCAACACAGCAAGACCCUCUCUCUA